CCCAUGGAGCUGUAGGAGCCG
rnacentral:miRNA from 1 species